rnacentral:rRNA from 1 species
UGUUAUUCUUUAUAAUAGAAGGUAAUAUCUCUAAGAAAAACCUUUGUCCUUUGGCGGCCCUCCUCCUUUUCAGAGGAACUUGUUAUUUAAUCGAUAAUCCGCGUUUACUUUCACUUUUUUUCAGUUUUUAUACCGCCGUCUAAAGAUAACAAUUUAAGUUUUUUUCUUUAAAACUAAAGUAUCCAAGUCAGGUCAAGGUGAAGCUAACAAAAAAGAAUUAAAUGAGUUACUUAUUUUUCAUAAUAAUGAAUUAUGAGCAAAAGCUUAAAUGAAAUAGGAUUUGAUAGUAAUAUUAUUUUAAAAUGAUAGUAUGAAUUAGCAAAGAUGGUGUACAC